rnacentral:rRNA from 1 species
UACGUAGGGGGCAAGCGUUGUCCGGAAUCAUUGGGCGUAAAGAGCGUGUAGGCCGGCCCGGUAAGUCCGCUGUGAAAGUCCAGGGCUCAACCCUGGGAUGCCGGUGGAUACUGUCGGGCUCGAGUCCGGAAGAGGAGUGUGAAUUCCUGGUGUAGCGGUGAAAUGCGCAGAUAUCAGGAGGAACACCAAUGGCGAAGGCAGCACUCUGGGACGUGACUGACGCUGAGACGCG